GGUCUAGUGCCUUGAAGGUGCUCAAAGGUGACUGUUGAAGGCUGUGCUUUAUUGAUGGAGUGCGUGAGAAGAGGUCAAGAGCAUAAAAGCUGUGAAGCAUACUUUUGGCCAAGGUUGUUAAGUAAAUUGGUCAAUAAGGAAGAAGAUAAAAGGCUGAUUUCCUAUAUUGUGUCGUGGUGCCACAGGCCCCUUCUGUUUUCUACCUUAUGGCCAUGUGUUCUUGGAACCCAGCAGCCAUGCUAUGAGGAAGCCCAAACUUCAUAGAGGACACACAUGAGAGUUUCAGAUGAUAGCUCCUGUUGUGGUAUCAACUUGAAACCAGCAUUAACAGUCAGACAAGUGAGUGAAGAAAACUUUGAGAUGACCCUAGCUUCAGCUACCAUCUGACCACAACCACCUAAGUUUCCCUGAGGGAGAAUUGACUAGGUGAGCCCAGUGUACUC